GGCUGGUCCUAAGGUAGUGAAUUAUCUCAGUUGACUGUUCACAGUCAGGUACAGAUUAAACUCCUACUCUUUCUCCCCUUCUCAUUAUUGCCCUUGGGAAGACUUAA
rnacentral:Y_RNA from 10 species